GCGUCGGUAGUGCAGCGGUUCAGCACGCGGCCCAGGAUGGGAUAAAUUGUGGGUUCGAGUCCCAGCUGACGGA